rnacentral:tRNA from 1 species
UCCGCGGUAGCUCAAUGGCAGAGCGGGUGCCUGUUAAGCACUAGGUUGUUGGUUCGAGUCCAACCCGCGGAGCCA